rnacentral:lncRNA from 1 species
ACAAUCUUCUCUUGAUGCAGUCCUCAUUCAAUUUCUAAACAUAGAUGUGUUCAGCUCCUCAGUCCAUACUGACUGUUUAAUCUUAUUGAACAUUCAUGUAAUACUUCAUUCUUCAACAAUCUGAAGAAUUGAGAUUUAAGGGAGAGAAAGAAGGAAAAGAAGUGAGAGCUGAUUCCAAAAAAGUGGAAGUAUUCUACAGGGAUAUAUGUUUCAGGGUGAGGACUGAAAUGAAACCAUUUGAUCUGAGAGUUAUCUGGGUACUGUUGAUAUUGGUUUCUGUUCAGAAAAAAGCAUUCCCUGGUGAUCCUAUUGUGGUAGACAUAAAACUGUGCCACCGAGAUCCCAUUCCAGGGAAGAACAUGCUGCUGAGCUGUUGGAAGUACAAUCAGCGGAAAACCUUGGUCUGUCAGCAACUUCAAGGUUUGCCUCCUUUGCAGAAAUGGCCCAUUCAAAGUCAUGCCCUUCCUAUAGCAGUCUACAUUCAUCCACUGAGUGAGGCGGAGAUAAAAAGGACUGAUAAUUUUCAACCCACAGGGGCAUUAAUGAGCCACAGGGGCAUUAAUGAGCAAUACCUGCUCCAGAGCUCCACAGUGGGUUCUCAGAAGGUGUGUCUUGCCUGCAUCACAGCUUGA